rnacentral:tRNA from 1 species
ACGUUUUUAUUAUAGUGAAAUAAUAUACCUGACUUCCAAUCAGGAGACCCUGGUAAACUCCAGGAAAUCGUA